ACGGGUUAUAUAGAACUAGGCUUCAGGUAGGUACAGGUUAUAUAGAACUAGGCUUCAGGUAGGUACGGGUUAUAUAUAACUAGGCUUCAGGUUGGUACGGGUUAUAUAGAACUAGGCUUUAGGUAGGUACGGGUUAUAUAGAACUAGGCUCCAGGUAGGUACGGGUUAUAUAGAACUAGGCUUUAGGUAGGUACGGGUUAUAUAGAACUAGGCUCCAGGUAGGUACGGGUUAUAUAGAACUAGGAUUCAGGUAGAUACGGGUUAUAUAGAACUAGGCUUCAGGUAUGUAUAUGUUACAUAAGCUACGCUUCAGGUAUGCACAUGUUAUAUAGAACUAGCCUUCAGGUAUGUACAUGUUAUAUAGAACUAGGCUUCAGGUAGGUAUGUACAUGUUACAUAGAACUAGUCUUCAGGUAGGUACGGGUUAUAUAGAACUAGACUUCAGGUAGGUACGGGCUAUAUAGAACUAGGCUUCAGGUAGA